ACUUAGAUGUAACCGCACGAAACAGGUCUUUAAAAUUUAUUACCUGGCUAGGCGAGUCUUAGAAAAUAA
rfam:Clostridiales bacterium S5-A11 contig029, whole genome shotgun sequence.